AGUGAACGCUGGCGGUAGGCCUAACACAUGCAAGUCGAACGGCAGCACAGUAAGAGCUUGCUCUUACGGGUGGCGAGUGGCGGACGGGUGAGGAAUACAUCGGAAUCUACUUUUUCGUGGGGGAUAACGUAGGGAAACUUACGCUAAUACCGCAUACGACCUACGGGUGAAAGCAGGGGAUCUUCGGACCUUGCGCGAUUGAAUGAGCCGGUGUCGGAUUAGCUAGUUGGCGGGGUAAAGGCCCACCAAGGCGACGAUCCGUAGCUGGUCUGAGAGGAUGAUCAGCCACACUGGAACUGAGACACGGUCCAGACUCCUACGGGAGGCAGCAGUGGGGAAUAUUGGACAAUGGGCGCAAGCCUGAUCCAGCCAUACCGCGUGGGUGAAGAAGGCCUUCGGAUUGUAAAGCCCUUUUGUUGGGAAAGAAAAGCAGCAGGUUAAUACCCCGCUGUUCUGACGGUACCCAAAGAAUAAGCACCGGCUAACUUCGUG
rnacentral:rRNA from 1 species